UGCAGUCGAGCGAACAGACGAAGUACUUGUACUUCUGACGUUAGCGGCGGACGGGUGAGUAACACGUAAGGAAUCUACCUAUAAGCGGGGGAUAACAUUCGGAAACGGAUGCUAAUACCGCAUAACAUUUACUUCCGCAUGGAAGUAAAUUGAAAGACGGCUCUGCUGUCACUUAUAGAUGACCUUGCGGUGCAUUAGUUAGUUGGUGGGGUAAUGGCCUACCAAGACGAUGAUGCAUAGCCGACCUGAGAGGGUGAUCGGCCACAUUGGGACUGAGACACGGCCCAAACUCCUACGGGAGGCAGCAGUAGGGAAUCUUCCGCAAUGGGCGAAAGCCUGACGGAGCAAUGCCGCGUGAGUGAAGAAGGCCUUCGGGUCGUAAAACUCUGUUAUAAGAGAAGAACAAAUUGUAGAGUAACUGCUACAGUCUUGACGGUAUCUUAUCAGAAAGCCACGGCUAACUACGUGCCAGCAGCCGCGGUAAUACGUAGGUGGCAAGCGUUGUCCGGAUUUAUUGGGCGUAAAGGGAGCGCAGGUGGUUUCUUAAGUCUGAUGUGAAAGCCCACGGCUCAACCGUGGAGGGUCAUUGGAAACUGGGGAACUUGAGUACAGAAGAGGAAUGUGGAACUCCAUGUGUAGCGGUGGAAUGCGUAGAUAUAUGGAAGAACACCAGUGGCGAAGGCGACAUUCUGGUCUGUUACUGACACUGAGGCUCG
rnacentral:rRNA from 1 species